AUUGAACGCUAGCGGCAUGCCUAACACAUGCAAGUCGAACGGCAGCACGAGGAGCUUGCUCCUUGGUGGCGAGUGGCGGACGGGUGAGUAACGCGUAGGAAUCUACCUUAUAGUGGGGGAUAACCCGGGGAAACUCGGGCUAAUACCGCAUAAUCUCUACGGAGCAAAGUGGGGGACCUUUUAGGCCUCACGCUAUUAGAUGAGCCUGCGUCGGAUUAGCUAGUUGGUGGGGUAAAGGCCUACCAAGGCGACGAUCCGUAGCUGGUCUGAGAGGACGACCAGCCACACUGGGACUGAGACCCGGCCCAGACUCCUACGGGAGGCAGCAGUGGGGAAUAUUGGACAAUGGGCGCAAGCCUGAUCCAGCAAUGCCGCGUGUGUGAAGAAGGCCCUCGGGUUGUAAAGCACUUUUAGUGGGGAAGAAAAAGUCGGAGAUAAUAUCUCCGAAAAUUGACGUUACCCACAGAAAAAGCACUGGCUAACUCUGUGCCAGCAGCCGCCGUAAAAC
rnacentral:rRNA from 1 species